UUUGGUUUCUUGUUUUGGUGUUUACAUGUGAUUAGUUAGCAUGUUUUUGUGAUUUCUGUGUAUUUUUCUUCUACGUAUAAUUAAGAGCACCAGUAACCUGCUAGAGUUACCAUAGAUGCAAUACAAUAUAGGUACCAUUCUCCUUUUUUAAUGGCGCAAGAAACCCAACCUGUGUCGGUGUCAAAUUUUUACCUGGCGGGAAGAUCUUAGAUUGAGAUCGGAAUAUUUCGAAGGUCAAGGCUGGCUCAGCCAGUGUGGCCCGGCACCAGCCACCAUGGACCACUCGAGAACCCAGGAGUGGGAGAAGCUGCGUGCCACAAUAGCACAGUGGAAUGACAACCGGCUGGACCUGUUCGAGCUCUCAGAGCCGGACCAGAAGCUCAACUUCCAUGGCGUUAUGAGGUUCUACUAUCAGGACUCUGGUCAGAAAGUGUCCACCAAGUGUAUCCGCGUGUCUUCGGACGCCACCUCUCAGGAUGUCAUAGCGACCCUGAUUGAGAAGUUCCGGCCCGACAUGAGGAUGCUGUCCACGCCGCGAUUCGCCCUCUACGAGAUCCACGAGAGCGGAGCAGAGGAGCGAGAGCUGUCGCCCGACGAGCGUCCUCUGCACGUGCAACUCAACUGGCACCAGGACGACCGCGAGGGGCGCUUCCUGCUGCGGAACCUCAACGAAAAACGCUGGUCAUUGCGAGCACCCGGCGAAUCAACACUAGACGAAGGCAACUUCAAACGCAAACUCAGUAAACGAGAGAAGAAAGACCUGAAAAAGAAGGGCAAACUUCACAAGAUUAAGAGCAUCAAUGAUCACGAUUCAAGCGUGGCAGAAAAGCUAUAUACAGAGCUGCCGGAGACGAGUUUCACGCGUUCCAUCAGUAACCCGGAGGCAGUGAUGCGCCGCCGGCGACAGCAGAAGCUGGAGAAGAAGCUGCAGCAGUUCCGCAGCCGAGACGGAGGACCCGACACGGGCGGCACGCUCAAGAUUUACGGAGAGAGCCUGUGCAGCGACGUUCCAUACAAGACGCUGCUGUUGUCUGUGACCGAUACAGCCGCUGCCGUGGUGCAGGAGAUGCUCCAAAAGUACGGCAGGUACCGAGAGGAUCCCAACAACUACUGUCUCGUCCAGGUGGUGACCCAGGAGCCGCAGCAGGAGACCCGCGAGUACCGGGCGCCCACGGGACCUUACAACGAGUACAUUCUGGAGGACGAUGAGUGUCCACUGGCCAUCCUGAUCAACCACCCUCCCACGCCCGGCUCCAUCAUGUUCCACGUGCGCCGGCGGCCCAACGACUACCAGCCGAGGAAGAGGAAGAAGCUGCCCAACCAGCCGUCGACGCCGUCUGAGGUGGACCAUAGCUACCGGGGAACGGACGAGGCCAGCCUGCCGUUCCUGCUCGAACUGAACGCAGAUGGAUCGGACGUGCGCCACCAGGCUCCUAGACGGUACAGCCUGCGUCUGAAUGUUACGGAGGUCGGGUCGGAGCGCUCUCCGCAGGCGGGCGGCCAGUGUCUCCAGCUGGCGGGCCACAACGUGCACCCGCGCCACUGCGUCAUCGCCCACACGGAGGGUAUAGUGACGGUGACUCCGUGUGGACGGGAGGCCGAGACUUACGUCAACGGACAGCGGGUGUACGAGACCACCAUACUGCAGCACGGCUGUGUGGUGCAGUUCGGGCGCGUGUACCGGUUCCGGUUCCUGGACCCGGCGCACGAGGCGCACCAGCGUCCUAGGGGGCGCCGAGAGUCAGGCCGCGGCCACAACGAGAGCUACGCUGAGAGGUCGAACAACUACGCCAGUUUCCGGCGGGGCAGCGACCCGAUCCUGCCGGCCGUGCUCGAGUUCAGAGAGGAGACCGAGGACGCCUUCCUGCGGGCCGUCAUUACGCGGCUCGACCCGAGCAGCCUGCAGUUCAAACUGGCGCCCACCUAUACUCUCUACAUGGCCGCGAGGUUUCGGGCCAGCACCCACUAUCGCAGUGACCUGUCGCCCAACGAGAGAGCUCUAAGGCUCACCAACGUCCUGGCCAAGGUGGCCUCCAUGAUCCGAGAUGUUGUGCAGAUGCGUCGCGGUGACGCCAAUUCCCUGGCGUUCUGGAUGGCCAAUGCGUCCGAGUACCUGCACUUCCUCAAACAGGACCGGCACGUGAGCGCCUACAGCCGCGACGCCCAGGACAUCCUGGCCGAGAGCGUCCAGUCGGCAUUCUGGAACCUGGUGGAUAACGUUCAGUCGGAACUGGGCGGCUCCAUCGGACACUUCCUCGAGGACCGGGACGACUCGGAUGAGGAGGAGGGUACCACUGCCGAGGUUUUGAGUACUCUGGGUAACACGAUGGCGCUGCUGCGCCGCUGUCGGGUGAACGCCGCCCUCACCAUCCAGCUGUUCUCACAGCUCUUCCACUACAUCAACAUGGGCGUGUUCAACAUGCUCGUCAUGCCCGGACCGGUCAACUACUGCAGCAGGAUGUGGGGCGAGCGCCUGAAGCGUCGACUGAGCCGUACCGAGCUGUGGGCGGACCGCCAGGGCCUGGAGCUGGCGGCCGACUGUCACCUGGGCCGGGUGGUGCAGGCCGCUCAUCUACUGACGGCUCCCAAGAACAACGUGGACGACCUGACGGGUAUCACGAGCACGUGCUACAAGCUGAACUCCCUGCAGCUGAGGGCGAUGCUGGAGCGGUACCAGCCGGCGGCCGACGAGCCGGCCAAAAUACCCCCUCAGCUCAUCGACAAUAUUGUCAGGAUUGCCGAGAGCACGUCGGACGAGCUGGCCCGCCAGGACGGCCGGCCGGUGCGUCUGGAGGAGAGCAGGGACCUGCAGCUGCCGUUCCUCCUACCCGAGGACGGGUACUCGUCGGACAUCGUGCGCGGCAUACCCAACGGUCUGACCGAGUUUAUAGCGCCGCUGCAGCACGCGGGCCUGGCUCGGAUGAGCGAACAGCCCACCAGCUGGGGUUACUGGACCAUCUACAUGACGGGCCAGGAGCACCGGCCGCCGCAAAUGCGCAGCCCGUCAGCCAUGUCCAACCGGUCUAUGGGGGCGCGCGGCCCGCCGGGCGGGGGCGGGGGCGGUCCGCCGCCCGCCGAACCCGAGGUGCAGCUCAUCAAACUGCAAAAGUCCAACACCGGCAUGGGCCUGAGCAUCGUGGCCGCCAAGGGCCUGGGCCAGGAGCAGGCGGGCAUCUACGUCAAGUCUGUGGUGCGCGGCGGCGCGGCGGACCUGGAUGGGCGACUGGCGGCCGGGGACCAGCUACUAGAGGUGGACGGACACAGCCUGAUCGGCAUCACCCAGGAACAGGCGGCCGAGUACAUGAUGAAGACGGGCCCGGUGGUGCUGCUGCGCGUGGCUAAACAGGCUGCCGUCUACCACCGGCUGACGGCGCUACUCUCUCAGCCGUCACCCACCAUGUCCAGAGGGAGCCGACGUGCCAGUGAACGUGGCGGGAUGCCGCCCACCGGGCGCAUCCAGAGCGCAAAGUCGGUGCCGGCGCUGAGCUCGGACGGCGGCGACCGCGGCGGUCCGAUGGCCGGCGUCAGUCGCGGCCACCAGGAGACCUACAACCCGGGCUUCAACCUGUCGGCGUCCAACGCCAGCCUGGCGGCACUGCCGGGCCCCGGCGCGCCGACCGCCGCGCACGCCCGCUCGCGCUCCGUCCAAAACCUGCACAAACCGGGCGGCCCGGCCGGCGGCGGGCCCGGCCCGGCCCCGGGGCCCGCGCCGCCGCCCCGGCCCAUCUCCGUGCACGCCCACUACCAGCAGGGACAGCCCGGACAGAUGCCGGCGCAGAUGCUGGGACAGAUGCCGGGCGGGCCGCGCUCAGAGAUGCCCCGCUCCGUCUCCGAGCACGAGCACCUGCGGCACCGGCACUCCAGCGCCACGUACAGCAACACGGGCCCGGGCGCGUUCGAGCCGCCGCGGCCAGCCGGACCGGACCGGCCGUACAGCGAGCAGCUCUCGCCGGGUCUGGGGGCCGAGCCGGGCGGCCGCGGCGGCCCCGGGCCCGCGGACAGGCCCCCGGCACACGGCGGCGCGCCGGGCAACGGGCUGAUGUACGGCGAGCGGCCGCCCCACGGCUCCGCGGAGGGUAUGACAGGGUAUGGGUAUGAGCGACCCGUCUCGGCGCACGGGCCGCCCGAUGGAGGUAUGGCGCCGUAUGGGGACCGCCACGAGCGACCUCUACCCCCUCACGGCGCGUCAAACGGAAUUUCACAGCACGGCGACCGGCCUCUGCCGCCGCCCCACUCCAGUGCCAACAGCGGUGUCUUGUCCUACGGGGACCGCCCGCCGCCGCCUCACAGCAGUGCCAACAACAGCGUGUUAUCACAGUACGGCGACAGACCGCUGCCUCCGCACUCCAGCGGCGGCGCUCUGCCCUACGGCGACCGGCCGCUGCCGCCCCACUCCAGCGCCAGUGGGAUGCCCGGGUACGGGGAGCGGCCCCUGCCGCCCCACAGUGCGGCCCCUGCGUCACCCGCGGCACCGCCGGACCGGCCCCCACUGCCGCCACACAGCGCCGCCGGCGGCGCGCCGCUGUCGUCACCCUACGGCGAGCGGCGCCCGUCGGGCCCGGAGCCGAUGGCGCAGCGCCGCCGCAGUCGCACCGAGAGCUUCUCCGAUCUGCCGCCGCCGCCGCCGCCGGCCUCGGCCGCGCCCGCGGUGCGGUUCGAGGAGCCGCCGCCGGCGCGGCCGCCGCCGCCCCAGGAGCUGUACGGCGAGCCGCUGCCGCCGCCGCCGCCGCCGGCGCAGACGCACCCGCUGUACGGCCAGCCGCCGCAGCGACCGCCGCCGCCGGCGCAGCAGGCCGGAUACGACGCCGGCAACCCGUGGACGCGCGAGGAGCGAGAAAAGCAGGAGGAGAAUCGCAAGAAGGAGGUGGCCCGCAAGUACCGCGACCAGCUGAUUGAGUACCUGGAGGGACUGCCGAACCGCUCCCGCCGCGAGCAGGAGCAGCUGCAGGCGCUGGUGCUCGAGAAGCGCUUCCAGGAGCGCUGUGACCUCGGCGGCGAUGACGAUGACGAGGAUGAAGAUGAUGAUGAUGAUAACCAGGAGAUGAACAACUCGCGGGCCGACUCGGACGUGCCGCCGCCACCGCCGUCCGAGCAGCCGCCGGCUCUCCCGAGCUCUGAGCAGCUGGAGCGGCCGCCGGCGCCGGGGGCCGGCAGUCGAACGGACGAGGUGCGCCGGCGCCAGGCGGAGCUCGAGGCCGCCCAGCAGGCCGAGCAGGGCAUCCUGCGCGAGGCGCAGCGGCGCCGCCAGAUGGAGGAGGACCGCCAGCGCCGCCAGAUGGACGAGGACAGGCAGCGCGUGGCGGCCGCCCGGCCGCACCGUCUCGUUCGGCGCGGUGACCACGGCCGGUGAGCUGCGGCCGCCGGCCGUGCCGCCCAAACCGGAGGUAGCCGUGGCGUCUGUGGUGAGCACGCGGCGCGUGCAGCUGAACGAGCCGGCCGGCACGCCGCCGCCGCCGCUGCAGCCGGCCGGCGGCGGCCGACACCACGAUCCGGACCGGUUCAUUGACGAGGCGCGACAGAUGAUGGCCGCUACCAGCAUCUCGCCGCCCGAGGGACCCACCUCCUCCAGUGUGGACGCCAGCGCCACGCCGGGCGUCAUCGGCGCUCAGGAGGUGUACAGGGACCCGCGCACUCGGCGUCUGGCGCUGAUGCAGGACCGCCAGCCGGAGCACUCUCCCGUGCCGGAGAAACUCUCCUUCAAGGAGAAGAUGAAGAUGUUUGCUGCCGAGACCGGCUAACUGUCCAGCUGCCCCAGAGACCAGGCGGCGCCGAGCGAGGACGCAGAGGAAGAGAGAGUGAGCUUCUCACCACUAACCCCACACAACACACCACUAACCGGCCGGCCGUCCGACCAGGGCGGCAGCUUGUGAUCGAGACUGGCGAGCGCCGCCGUCGCUACAUCCGUCCGUCCGUUAGAGAGAAUAGCGUCUAUUUUACACAGUGCAUAUCAUCAUAUACCGCCCGCCGGCGGCGGCAGCGGUGGGUUGUGAUGUUGGACGUCCGGCCGACUAGUUUGUAGCGAGCUGCGGCGCCGGGGCUGCUGGACCUCCGUGGGCCCUCGGGGACUCGCAUGGGCCCUGCCGCCGAGAACGUCAGCUUGCGUCGAUGUCCGUGACAUUUGUGGCCUUUCAUAUUCAGACGGAUGAUUUGACGAAGAUGGGAAGUCGCGAGGUUUCGAUGAGAUUCAUGCAUUGGCAGAUCAUGGUAUUUUUAAAACCUGUAGACCCGAGGCAACUGUAUGAAGUUCUAAUGCUCCGCAGGGGGUCAGAAUCCGCGGCCCGUCCUUUCGCUGUGUCAACUGCCGAGUCGUUGACGGGGCCACGCUGGCCGCUCUAGUUUUGUAUGCUCUUUAUGGUGGGUCUCUGGUGAUCAUAUCGUGUAUAGCUGGGGCCGCGUGGGGUCCAGAGGGCUGCAAACAUGGAACGUAAGCAGCUGUGCGGGGCCGCCUGCGGUCAGCUGUGAUGUGUCCCGGGCAGACCGAACCGGACGCAGCUGUGUUUUACUGGCGACUACGGGGGAGAAAUGGCCGCUAAAUUUGUAGAUAUGUGGUAGCUUGGUGACGAAACAUUUUUAUCGAGAGUAGUUUGAUGUUUAGAGAACACAUUUUAUCGAAAGUACUUGGCUGUACGCCCGUCGGUGCGUUCCUGUGCCCAGAGGUGCCUAUGGUCGGGCGGUUUCCGAGGGGUGCCUAUUGUUGGCAGUGUCGUGUGUCCCAGAGAGGUGCCUAUCGUUGGCAAUGUCGUGUGCUGAGAGGGGUGCCUAAUGCCUAUCGUUGGCAGUGUCCUGUGCUGACGGUACCGUGGCUGUAAGUAGGCAGCUGUGGGGCGGAUAAGAGACCCAGGGGAUGUACAGAGAUUCGUGACGCCUGACGGGCCCAGGACAAAAUAUAUCUCAUGAAUGCCCAUC
rnacentral:misc_RNA from 1 species